AACUUUUGACAACGGAUCUCUUGGUUCUGGCAUCGAUGAAGAACGCAGCGAAAUGCGAUAAAUAAUGUGAAUUGCAGAAUUCCGUGAAUCAUUGAAUCUUUGAACGCAUCUUGCGCCUAUUAGUAUUCUAGUAGGCAUGCCUAUUCGAGCGUCGUUUCUAAACUCAACUAGCUUUAGUUGGUGUUGGAGGCUAGAAUUUACUGGCUUCUUAAAUAUAAUGGCCAGCAAAUAUAGAGCUUUCUUCUACGUAGUACAUAUCCUCGUCUAAGAACUCUUAUUUAUGCGCCUUAUAUCUUCUGAGUUGACCUCGAAUUAGGUAGGAAUACCCGCUGAACUUAAGCAUAUCAAUAAGCGGAGGCU
rnacentral:misc_RNA from 1 species